AUGGCAUUUGCUGGCAGAGAUAGUCCCUUCCCCUCAGGACCGUCAAUGUCCUGCGCUGUCUCCAGCGGUGCACAGCAGCCGCGGGCAGACAUUUUCAGUGCGCUGCUUAAGCAGCCGUGCCUGCUUGCCGAUGCUCUGAUCACAUCCUCAGGGGAGAUGCUGUCUCGCAGCUCCAGCACGGGCAUGCUGCCGAGGCCACACCCCGUUAGCAGGGCACCUCCCCGGUCCCCGCAGAGAGUUGGCAGGCCGGGGAACACGGGGAGAGGGACAGAGACCGGUGAAGCCGUUCCGUGCCCGAUGGGGCGGGAGGCCGAGGGCAGCGCCGGCGCCUCGGGCUGGCCGCGAUUUCAGCGCCACAGACAGUGUCGGACGCGGCUUCAGCACCACGGACAGCGCUCGUCCGGGUGGUUCGGCACCACGGACAGCGCCUGUGGUGUUUCAGCACCUCGGACAGCGUCCGCGGGGGUUCAGCACCACGGACAGCGCCCGCCUCGGUCGGGUGUGGGCGCCACGUUCCGGCGAGAGCCAUGCGGACACGGACAGAUGGACAGCCACGGUCCCAGGCGGGCGUGCACAGCCCCAGAGCCCCCCACGCAGCCGCAGGUGUGCCCACGCGGAGAGGCACGCCGAGACACAGGGGGGGCAGGCAGGCGCACGGCCGUCUCUCCCGCACAGACACAAGAUACCCGCGCACGCACUCGCACCUCCACCGCAGCACACGUGCUCGUGCCCCCCCGCGGGCACCCCCGGGAAGCAGGGCCACGGACACAGCGGCGCGGCCAAGACACAGGCACACUCAGUGGCACACGCAUGCACACACCCAUACCCCACAUGCUCCCGCAGGCUCCCACGGCCACGCACGGCCACUCGAACACACACACGAACACACACACACACACACAUAUACACACACACACAAAUACACACACCCAUCCAUACACACAAACACACACGCGCACACACCCGCACCCCCAGCCCCGCGCCCUCCUCCCCGGCUCUCCUCCCACCCCCGGCGCCAGCUAA
rnacentral:lncRNA from 1 species